GAUGAACGCUGGCGGCGUGCCUAAUACAUGCAAGUCGAGCGAACUGAUUAGAAGCUUGCUUCUAUGACGUUAGCGGCGGACGGGUGAGUAACACGUGGGCAACCUGCCUGUAAGACUAGGAUAACUUCGGGAAACCGAAGCUAAUACCGGAUAGGAUCUUCUCCUUCAUGGGAGAUGAUUGAAAGCUGGUUUCGGCUAUCACUUACAGAUGGGCUCGCGGUGCAUUAGCUAGUUGGUGAGGUAACGGCUCACCAAGGCAACGAUGCAUAGCCGACCUGAGAGGGUGAUCGGCCACACUGGGACUGAGACACGGCCCAGACUCCUACGGGAGGCAGCAGUAGGGAAUCUUCCGCAAUGGACGAAAGUCUGACGGAGCAACGCCGCGUGAGUGAUGAAGGCUUUCGGGUCGUAAACUCUGUUGUUAGGGAAGAACAAGUACGAGAGUAACUGCUCGUACCUUGACGGUACCUAACCAGAAAGCCACGGCUAACUACGUGCCAGCCGCCGCCGUAAGAC
rnacentral:rRNA from 1 species